GGGCAGGCGGUCCUAUCAUGCAGUCGAGCGGAGUUGAUGUAGUGCUUGCGGGUGUGGAGGAUUGCGGCGGACGGGUGUGUAACACGUAUGACACCUGCCCUCCAUACUGGGAUAACUGCCGGAAAGGGUCUCUUAUACCGGAUAAUUAAAUUCGCUGCGUGGCGAGUUAUGAAAGGCGGAGCAAUCUGUCACUUGGAGAUGGGCCUGCGGCGCAUUAGCUAGUUGGUGAGGUAACGGCUCACCAAGGCGACGAUGCGUAGCCGACCUGAGAGGGUGAACGGCCACACUGGGACUGAGACCCGGCCCAGACUCCUACCGGAGGCAGCAAUAGGGAAUCUUCCGCAAUGGGCGAAAGCCUGACGGAACAACGCCGCGUGAGUGAUGAAGGUUUUCGGAUCGUAAAGCUCUGUUGCCAGGGAAGAACGUCUCAUAGAGUAACUGCUAUGAGAGUGACGGUACCUGAGAAGAAAGCCCCGGCUAACUACGUGCCACCGCCGCGGUAAUACGUAGGGGGCAAGCGUUGUCCGGAAUUAUUGGGCGUAAAGCGCGCGCAAGCGGUUCUUUAAGUCUGGUGUUUAAACCCGAAGCUCACUUCGGGACGCACUGGAAACUGGGGAACUUGAGUGCAGAAGAAGAGAGUGGAAUUCCACGUGUAGCGGUGAAAGCGUAAUUGUGGAGGAACCCAGUGGCGAAGCGACCUCUGGGCUGUACUGACCUUAGGCCCAAACGUGGGGAGCAACGGAUUAAUACCUGGUAUCCCCCCGUAACGAUGAUGCUAGUGUUAGGGUUCGAUCCCUGGUGCCAAGUUACCAUUAGCAUCCCCUGGGAAUCCGUCGCAGA
rnacentral:rRNA from 1 species